rnacentral:rRNA from 1 species
CGUUAGCGGCGGACGGGUGAAGUAACACGUGGGUAACCUACCUAUAAGACUGGGAUAACUUCGGGAANNNNNAGCUAAUACCGGNNNNNNUUUGGAACCGCAUGGUUCUAAAGUGAAAGAUGGUUUUGCUAUCACUUAUAGAUGGACCCGCGCCGUAUUAGCUAGUUGGUAAGGUAACGGCUUACCAAGGCAACGAUACGUAGCCGACCUGAGAGGGUGAUCGGCCACACUGGAACUGAGACACGGUCCAGACUCCUACGGGAGGCAGCAGUAGGGAAUCUUCCGCAAUGGGCGAAAGCCUGACGGAGCAACGCCGCUUGAGUGAUGAAGGGUUUCGGCUUGUAAAACUCUGUUUUUAGGGAAGAACAAAUGUGUAAGUAACUGUGCACAUCUUGACGGUACCUAAUCAGAAAGCCAGGGCUAAUUACGUGCCAGCAGCCGCGGUAAUACGUAGGUGGCAAGCGUUAUCCGGAAUUAUUGGGCGUAAAGCGCGCGUAGGCGGUUUCUUAAGUCUGAUGUGAAAGCCCACGGCUCAACCGUGGAGGGUCAUUGGAAACUGGGAAACUUGAGUGCAGAAGAGGAAAGUGGAAUUCCAUGUGUAGCGGUGAAAUGCGCAGAGAUAUGGAGGAACACCAGUGGCGAAGGCGACUUUCUGGUCUGUAACUGACGCUGAUGUGCGAAAGCGUGGGGAUCAAACAGGAUUAGAUACCCUGGUAGUCCACGCCGUAAACGAUGAGUGCUAAGUGUUAGGGGGUUUCCGCCCCUUAGUGCUGCAGCUAACGCAUUAAGCACUCCGCCUGGGGAGUACGACCGCAAGGUUGAAACUCAAAGGAAUUGACGGGGACCCGCACAAGCGGUGGAGCAUGUGGUUUAAUUCGAAGCAACGCGAAGAACCUUACCAAAUCUUGACAUCCUUUGAAAACUCUAGAGAUAGAGCCUUCCCCUUCGGGGGACAAAGUGACAGGUGGUGCAUGGUUGUCGUCAGCUCGUGUCGUGAGAUGUUGGGUUAAGUCCCGCAACGAGCGCAACCCUUAAGCUUAGUUGCCAUCAUUAAGUUGGGCACUCUAGGUUGACUGCCGGUGACAAACCGGAGGAAGGUGGGGAUGACGUCAAAUCAUCAUGCCCCUUAUGAUUUGGGCUACACACGUGCUACAAUGGACAAUACAAAGGGCAGCUAAACCGCGAGGUCAUGCAAAUCCCAUAAAGUUGUUCUCAGUUCGGAUUGUAGUCUGCAACUCGACUACAUGAAGCUGGAAUCGCUAGUAAUCGUAGAUCAGCNNNNUANNNUGAAUACGUUCCCGGGUCUUGUACACACCGCCCGUCACACCACGAGAGUUUGUACAC